rnacentral:rRNA from 1 species
AUUGAACGCUGGCGGCAGGCCUAACACAUGCAAGUCGAACGAGCGGCGAAGGGUUGCGUAAUGUCUGGGAAACUGCGGGAUAGAGGGGGAAAACUACGGGAAAAGGUAGCGAAAACAGCAUACCAUCAGAUGUGCCCAGCUGGGAUUAGCUAGUAGGUGGGGUAACGGCUCACCUAGGCGACGAUCCCUAGCUGGUCUGAGAGGAUGACCAGCCACACUGGAACUGAGACACGGCCCAGACUCCUACGGGAGGCAGCAGUGGGGAAUAUUGCACAAUGGGCGCAAGCCUGAUGCAGCCAUGCCGCGUGUGUGAAGAAGGCCUUCGGGUUGUAAAGCACUUUCAGCGGGGAGGCGUUACCCGCAGAAGAAGCAACGGCUAACUCCGUGCCAGCAGCCGCGGUAAUGC